rnacentral:rRNA from 1 species
UACGGAGGGUGCAAGCGUUGUCCGGAUUUAUUGGGUUUAAAGGGUGCGUAGGCGGUCCUAUAAGUCAGUGCUGAAAUAUCCCGGCUUAACCGGGAGGGUGGCAUUGAUACUGCAGGACUUGAGUAAAGUUGAGGUUGGCGGAAUUGACGGUGUAGCGGUGAAAUGCUUAGAUAUCGUCAAGAACACCGAUUGCGAAGGCAGCUAACUAAGUUUUAACUGACGCUGAGGCACGAAAGUGUGGGGAUCAAACAGG